rnacentral:rRNA from 1 species
UACGGGGGGGGCAAGCGUUGUUCGGAAUUACUGGGCGUAAAGGGCUCGUAGGUGGCCAACUAAGUCAGACGUGAAAUCCCCAGGCUUAACCUGGGAACUGCGUCUGAUACUGGAUGGCUUGAAUUCGGGAGAGGGAUGCAGAAUUCCAGGUGUAGCGGUGAAAUGCGUAGAUAUCUGGAGGAAUACCGGUGGCGAAGGCGGCAUCCUGGACCGAUAUUGACACUGAGGAGCGAAAGCCAGGGGAGCAAACGGG